GAAGAUGGGGGGACCAUCCUCCAAGGCUAAAUACUCGUGAUCGACCGAUAGUGAACCAGUACUGUGAAGGAAAGGCGAAAAGAACCCCGGGAGGGGAGUGAAAUAGAACCUGAAACCGCAUACAUACAAACAGUAGGAGCCCCUGCAGUGGGGUGACUGCGUACCUUUUGCAUAAUGGGUCAGCGACUUACGUUUUGUGGCGAGCUUAACCGAGUAGGGGAGGCGUAGCGAAAGCGAGUUCGAAUAGAGCGAAGAGUCUCAAGGCGUAGACCCGAAACCAGAUGAGCUAUCCAUGGCCAGGUUGAAGGUGUGGUAACACACACUGGAGGACCGAACCGACUAGUGUUGCAAAAUUAGCGGAUGAGCUGUGGAUAGGGGUGAAAGGCUUAACAAAUCUGGAGAUAGCUGGUUCUCCCCGAAAACUAUUGAGGUAGUGCCUCGUGUAUUGCUCCAGGGGGUAGAGCACUGUUAUGGCUAGGGGGACAUGGCGUCUUACCAAACCAUGGCAAACUCCGAAUACUUGGAAGUAAGAGCACGGGAGACAGAGCACCGGGUGCUAACGUCCGGACUCAAGAGGGAAACAACCCAGACCGCCGUUUAAGGUCCCAAAUAUUGACUAAGUGGAAAACGAAGUGUGAAGGCUAAGACAGUCAGGAAGUUGGCUUAGAAGCAGCCAUCCUUCAAAGAAAGCGUAAUAGCUCACUGAUCGAGUCCUCAUGCGCGGAAGAUGUAACGGGGCUAAGUCAAUAACCGAAAGCGCGGAUUUGCAUGAAAGUGCAAGUGGUAGGGGAGCGUUCUGUAAGCCUGCGAAGGUGGUUCGAGAGGACUGCUGGAGGUAUCAGAAGUGCGAAUGCUGACAUGAGUAACGUUAAAGCGGGUGAAAAGCCCGCUCGCCGUAAGCCCAAGGUUUCCUGCUCUACGUUCAUCGGAGCAGGGUGAGUCGGCCCCUAAGGCCAGGCUGAGAAGCGUAGUCGAUGGGAAGCAGAUUAAUAUUUCUGCACCAUGUGCAAGUGCGAUGGGGGGACGGAGUGCGAAAGAUCAUCCGGGUGUUGGAUGUCCCGGUUUGUGAGUGUAGAAGGCCGACAGGCAAAUCCGUCGGCGGAUCUUCGAGACAAAGCAUCGAGGUUCUACGGAACCGAAGUGAUCGGAAGUGCUUCCAGGAAAAGCCUCUAAGCUUCAGCUUGUACAUGACCGUACCGUAAACCGACACUGGUGGGCGAGUUGAAUAUACUCAGGCGCUUGAGAGAACUCGGGAGAAGGAACUCGGCAAAUUGACACCGUAACUUCGGGAUAAGGUGUGCCUUUGUAGCGUGAAGAGAGAAACACUCGGAGCGUGAAGAGGCCUCAGAGAAUCGGUGGCUGCAACUGUUUAUUAAAAACACAGCACUCUGCAAAGACGAAAGUCGACGUAUAGGGUGUGAUGCCUGCCCGGUGCUGGAAGAUUAAGUGAUGGGGUGAGAGCUCCUGAUCGAAGUCCCAGUAAACGGCGGCCGUAACUAUAACGGUCCUAAGGUAGCGAAAUUCCUUGUCGGGUAAGUUCCGACCUGCACGAAUGGCAUAAUGAUGGCCACACUGUCUCCUCCCGAGACUCAGUGAAGUUGAAAUGUUUGUGAUGAUGCAAUCUCCCCGCGGCUAGACGGAAAGACCCCAUGAACCUUUACUGUAGCUUUGCAUUGGACUUUGAACCGAUUUGUGUAGGAUAGGCGGGAGGCAGAGAAAGCGCAACGCCAGUUGUGCCGGAGCCGACGUUGAAAUACCGCCCUGAUUUGUUUGAGGUUCUAACCGCGACCCGUAAGCCGGGUCCGGGACCGUGCAUGGCAGGCAGUUUGACUGGGGCGGUCUCCUCCUAAAGGGUAACGGAGGAGUACAAAGGUACGCUAGGUACGGUCGGAAAUCGUGCUGAUAGUGCAAAGGCAAAAGCGUGCUUGACUGCGAGACCGACAAGUCGAGCAGAUGCGAAAGCAGGUCUUAGUGAUCCGGUGGCUCUGUAUGGAAGGGCCAUCGCUCAACGGAUAAAAGGUACUCUGGGGAUAACAGGCUGAUACCGCCCAAGAGUUCAUAUCGACGGCGGUGUUUGGCACCUCGAUGUCGGCUCAUCUCAUCCUGGGGCUGUAGCCGGUCCCAAGGGUAUGGCUGUUCGCCAUUUAAAGAGGUACGUGAGCUGGGUUUAAAACGUCGUGAGACAGUUUGGUCCCUAUCUGCCGUGGGCGCUGGAAGAUUGACGGGGGCUGCUCCUAGUACGAGAGGACCGGAGUGGACGCACCUCUGGUGUACCGGUUGUCACGCCAGUGGCAU
rnacentral:rRNA from 1 species